rnacentral:rRNA from 1 species
AUUGAACGCUGGCGGAAUGCUUUACACAUGCAAGUCGAACGGCAGCACGGGGCAACCUGGUGGCGAGUGGCGAACGGGUGAGUAAUACAUCGGAACGUGCCCAAUCGUGGGGGAUAACGUAGCGAAAGUUACGCUAAUACCGCAUACGAUCUACGGAUGAAAGCGGGGGAUCGCAAGACCUCGCGCGAAUGGAGCGGCCGAUGUCAGAUUAGGUAGUUGGUGGGGUAAAGGCAAACCAAGACAACGAUCUGUAGCUGGUCUGAGAGGACGACCAGCCACACUGGGACUGAGACACGGCCCAGACUCCGACGGGAGGCAGCAGUGGGGAAUUUUGGACAAUGGGCGCAAGCCUGAUCCAGCCAUUCCGCGUGCAGGAUGAAGGCCUUCGGGUUGUAAACUGCUUUUGUACGGAACGAAACGGUUCUCUCUAAUACAGGGGGCUAAUGACGGUACCGUAAGAAUAAGCACCGGCUAACUACGUGCCAGCAGCCGCCGUAAAAC